GAUGAACGCUGGCGGCGUGCCUAAUACAUGCAAGUCGAGCGAACAGACGAGGAGCUUGCUCCUCUGACGUUAGCGGCGGACGUGUGAGUAACACGUGGAUAACCUACCUAUAAGACUGGGAUAACUUCGGGAAACCGGAGCUAAUACCGGAUAAUAUAUUGAACCGCAUGGUUCAAUAGUGAAAGACGGUUUUGCUGUCACUUAUAGAUGGAUCCGCGCCGCAUUAGCUAGUUGGUAAGGUAACGGCUUACCAAGGCAACGAUGCGUAGCCGACCUGAGGGGGUGAUCGGCCACACUGGAACUGAGACACGGUCCAGACUCCUACGGGAGGCAGCAGUAGGGAAUCUUCCGCAAUGGGCGAAAGCCUGACGGAGCAACGCCGAGUGAGUGAUGAAGGUCUUCGGAUCGUAAAACUCUGUUAGUAGGGAAGAACAAAUGUGUAAGUAACUAUGCACGUCUUGACGGUACCUAAUCAGAAAGCCACGGCUAACUACGUG
rnacentral:rRNA from 1 species